rnacentral:rRNA from 1 species
UACGGAGGGGGCUAGCGUUGUUCGGAAUUACUGGGCGUAAAGCGCACGUAGGCGGACUCUUAAGUCGGUGGUGAAAUCCUGGAGCUCAACUCCAGAACUGCCUUCGAUACUGGGAGUCUCGAGUCCGAGAGAGGUGAGUGGAACUGCGAGUGUAGAGGUGAAAUUCGUAGAUAUUCGCAAGAACACCAGUGGCGAAGGCGGCUCACUGGCUCGGUACUGACGCUGAGGUGCGAAAGCGUGGGGAGCAAACAGG